UUCUACAUACAAAACAACCAUAGUAUUUUUCAGGAGUCCACGACCACCCUGCCCGUUUUGACACACAAAAGUAAUUUGACACUUCUGGGAUGAGCCAAUGAUUCAUCUGUUUGGAAGGUUUUGUUGGAGACAAACAAAGAAUCUUCAGGCAACAGAUGUGAAAGCUGUGACUGCUCUCUCUCUCCCUCGUCUGCUGGGUCCUCUGUGUUUGCCUACCUGCUACAGGUAGCCAGUGGGCGGGGCUGAGAGGCUUGUCAGCUGAUGAGGUGCACCUGUGCAGGUCUGCCACGCAGGCUGUAGCCAGUCUCUCUCUCUCUUUCCACAGAGGCAGGUGGGCUUGGGUUCUGUUUAGGGUGGUUCCUUAAGGUUUUGGACCUUUGGAUUGGUUCCAUGUUUUGUUUUAUGUUAACACUAUUCAACAUCCCCACAGCACACUUUCCACUGCCCAUAUACAUAGACUAGUCGAAAGAAUUGUGUGUUUGGUCAGUAGUUCAGUUGGUUGGUCACAUAUGUUGGUUUGCUGUUCAGGUUUGGUUUGUUGCAUUUUGUUUGGGUAUUUCCAACAGGGUAAAGAUGGUUUUAAGUUUCCUCCGUUCUGGCUCGGUCGGUCCUUGUGAUUUUGGUACUGGUUUUCUGUCCAAACCAUAUAAUCGCACAUUUUCUAAUCUUCCAUACGCUACACUAAUCCCUUUACAGAUUUCAUGAUACUUACUUUAUUCUAAUAAAUAACUUUAUCCCUUA